CGGGGAGUAGCUCAGCCCGGCUAGAGCGCUUGGUUUGGGACCAAGAAGUCGCAGGUUCGAAUCCUGUCUCCCCGACAA
rnacentral:tRNA from 8 species